AACUGUAAGGCGGUUCCAACUACAAAAUUUUCGGCCCUUGAAAAGUUUAAAACGCACCCAUAGUGAAGUCGGGGGGUCUCCUUACGCUAGCCGCUAAUUUUUAUAUAUUCGACCAAAACAGAAGGUUAGGGUUUCGACUCUCGAAACUUCCUUUUAUCUGUGGAUUCAACAUUCAUCUUCGCCACGAAUUUGUUUUCCGCGAUAUCUUGCAAAAUUUAGGAGCCGCUUAAUUUUUCUGGUCUCGUAUAAUCUCAACCGCUCGUACUUUCAUCACAUAAUAAAGAACUUGAAGAGAAAGCUAUGGAUGAGGGGAAGCAUAAAUCUAGGAGGGAGGAUUCGGAGAGGAGUGAGGUGGAGGAUUUGAAGGAGUCCAAGCGGAGCCACCGUGAUCGCGAUAGAGAAAGAGAUAAGGAGAGAAAUGGGGAGAGACACAGGGACAGGGACCGGGAUAGGGUGAAGAAAGACCGUGAUAGCCGGCGUUCUGAGAGAGAGAAGAGUAGCGAAUCUGAUGACAAGGAGAGAAAUGGGGAGAGACAUAGGGAGCGGGAUAGGGAGAAGAAGGACCGCGAUAGCCGGCGUUCUGAGAAAGAGAAGAGUAUUGAAUCUGAUGAGAAGGAGAGAAAUGGGGAGAGGCAUAGGGACCAGGAGAGGGAGAAGAAGGACCGAGAUAGUCGGCGUUCUGAGAGAGAGAAGAGUAGUGAUUCUGAUGACAAGCAUGAUAGAAUUAGGGAGAAGCAUAGAGACAGGGACAAGGAUAAGGAUAGGACACGAAGUCGGGAUGACGACAGAGAAAGAGAGAGAGCCAGAGAAAAGAAGAGGGAAAGAGACAGGGAAGAGAGGGAGAGAGAGAGGGAGAGGGAAAGGGAGAAAGAGAAGAGGGAGAGGGCAAGAGAGAAAGAAAGAGAGAGGGAAAGAGAAAGAGAGAAGAGGGAACGUGAGAGAGAAGAGCGAGAGAGGGAGAGAGAGAGGGAGAGGAGGGAGCGUGAAAGAGAGAGAGAGAAGGAGAGAGAAAGAGAGAGGAGGAUACGGGACAGGGAGAAGCAUCGAGAAGCUGAUAGUGAUGACGGUGAUGAUAAUCAUAGGGAGCAUGACAGGAAGCGACGCAGGAGAGAUGAUGAUGGUUACAAGGAUAGAGAUCGUGAACGGAGCAAUAGCAGGCCUCGCAAGCACAGGGCUGAUAGUGAAGAGAGCCCUAGAAAAAAGAGUACUGAGGAUGAUUCUGAUAAGGAGAAUAAACUGACCCGUGAAGAGGAGUUGAAGGAUGAGCAGCGGAGAUUGGAGGAGGAAAUGGAAAAGCGGAGGAGGAGAGUGCAGGAGUGGCAGGAGACGAAGAGAAAAAAUGAAGAAGCUGAGAGAGAAAAGCGUGGGGAAGCGAAUGCUGAGGAACCCAUGUCUGGGAAGACCUGGACCCUUGAAGGAGAAUCUGAUGAUGAAGAAGUACCUCCUAUGGGGAAACCAGAGACGGAUAUGGACAUGGAUGAAAAUGUCAAUCCUACUGACAACGAAGUUGGGGAUUCAAUGUUGGUUGAUUCUGAGAAUGGAAUAGCUUCCACUUCACAGAAUGGGGCUGAUGGUGAUGCUGGGGAUGAGGAAAUUGAUCCAUUGGAUGCCUUUAUGAAUUCUAUGGUAUUGCCUGAAGUUGAGAAGCUAAACAAUACUUCGGCUUCUCCGAAUUUUGAUGAUAUGGAUGUGGACUCAAAGAACAAACCUAAGAAGGAUGAAUUAAGUAAUGGUGAGCAGCCUAGGAAGGGUUCAAAUAAGUCUAUGGGGAGAAUAAUGCAGGGUGAAGAUUCAGAGUCAGAUUAUAGUGACCUUGAGAAUGAUGAGGAUCCUGUACAAGAAGAAGAUGAUGAUGAGUUCAUGAAAAGGGUGAAGAAGACAAAAGCUGAGAAGCUUUCUGUAGUUGACCACUCUAAGAUUGAUUAUGAACCGUUCCGGAAAAACUUCUAUAUUGAAGUGAAAGAGAUCGGUAAGAUGACUUCUGAAGAGGUUGUUGCUUACCGAAAAGAAUUGGAAUUGAAGUUACAUGGUAAAGAUGUACCAAAGCCAAUUAAAACCUGGCACCAAACGGGACUUACGAGUAAAAUCUUGGAGACAAUAAAGAAGCUGGAAUAUGAAAGUCCAAUGCCAAUUCAAGCUCAGGCUCUGCCUAUAAUUAUGAGUGGUCGAGACUGCAUAGGCGUUGCCAAAACUGGCUCAGGCAAAACCCUUGCAUUUGUGCUGCCAAUGUUGAGGCAUAUCAAGGACCAGCCACCUGUGGUAGCUGGAGAUGGACCUAUUGGGCUUAUAAUGGCACCUACAAGGGAGCUUGUACAGCAGAUCCACAGUGAUAUAAAGAAGUUUUCCAAGGUACUUGGUAUCAGGUGUGUGCCUGUGUAUGGAGGUUCUGGUGUUGCUCAACAAAUUAGUGACUUGAAGCGUGGUACAGAGAUUGUUGUCUGUACUCCAGGUAGGAUGAUUGACAUACUUUGCACAAGUGGGGGGAAAAUUACAAAUCUGCGUAGAGUCACAUAUUUGGUUAUGGAUGAAGCUGAUCGGAUGUUUGACAUGGGUUUUGAACCUCAAAUUACUCGAAUUGUUCAAAAUAUUCGGCCAGAUCGUCAAACGGUACUCUUUUCUGCAACUUUCCCUCGUCAGGUAGAAAUUUUGGCGCGUAAAGUGUUAAACAAACCUGUGGAGAUACAGGUUGGUGGGAGAAGUGUUGUGAACAAGGAUAUAACACAGUUGGUUGAGGUGAGGCUGGAAAAUGAAAGGUUCUUAAGAUUGCUGGAACUACUUGGGGAAUGGUAUGAGAAAGGGAAAAUUUUAAUAUUUGUCCACUCGCAGGAGAAAUGUGAUGCUUUGUUCAGGGAUCUCAUCAAGCAUGGUUAUCCUUGCCUCUCGCUUCAUGGGGCUAAGGACCAGACUGACCGUGAAUCAACCAUUUCUGAUUUUAAGAGCAAUGUCUGCAAUUUGCUGAUUGCUACAAGUAUUGCUGCUAGGGGUUUAGAUGUGAAGGAGCUUGAAUUGGUGGUAAACUUUGACGUUCCAAACCACUAUGAAGAUUAUGUCCAUCGUGUUGGUCGUACAGGUCGAGCUGGCAGGAAAGGUUGUGCUAUCACAUUUAUUUCUGAGGAAGAUGCAAGAUAUGCACCUGAUCUUGUAAAAGCAUUGGAACUUUCUGAGCAAGCUGUUCCCGAUGACCUGAAAGCUCUUGCUGAUGGUUUUAUGGCAAAAGUGAAUCAGGGACUUGAGCAAGCCCAUGGUACUGGUUAUGGUGGAAGUGGUUUUAAAUUUAAUGAAGAGGAAGAUGAGGUGAGGAGAGCUGCAAAGAAAGCACAGGCCAAAGAAUAUGGUUUUGAAGAGGACAAGUCAGAUUCGGAUGAUGAUGAUGACAGUAUACGGAAGGCAGGUGGUGACAUAUCCCAGCAUACUGCCUUAGCUCAGAUAAUUGCUGCUGCCUCCAAAGUCAGUACAGCGAGUGCACCUAUGCCGACCCCUGUCACUGCUGUACAACUGCUUCCCAACGGUGGACUACCUGUUACACUGCCAACAAUUGGUCUAGCAAUACCUGGAACAACGGCAGCGGUGUCUGCGACCGGCCUGCCUGUUGUUGCCAAUGAUGGAGCAGGGGCAGCUCGGGCAGCAGCAAUUGCAGCGGCUCUCAACUUACAGAAAAAUUUGUUGAAGCUUCAAGAAGUUGCUAUGCCAGAACAUUACGAAGCGGAGUUGGAGAUUAAUGAUUUUCCCCAGAAUGCUCGAUGGAGGGUUACCCACAAGGAAACUUUGGGCCCAAUUUCGGAGUGGACUGGAGCUGCUAUUACUACGAGGGGGCAGUAUUUUCCACAAGGUCGGAUCCCAGGACCUGGAGACCGCAAGCUCUACUUGUUCAUUGAGGGCCCUACUGAACAGUCUGUCAAGAGAGCUAAAUCAGAAUUAAAACGAGUUUUGGAAGACAUCACAAACCAGGGAUCACAACCAAACAGUGCAGCCCAACCUGGCAGAUACCAAGUUUUAUAAGUGUAAGCACUUGAUUUCAAUUCAUACAGCCAUUAUUGGCAUAACAUUACCUGCUUCUGUUGGAUUUAAGUUGAGACCCAACUUCUGGUUAUUCUCUCUUUCUUGGUUUAUUGUUGGAUAAAUUUCUGUUAACUAGUGUUUUGCCCUCCACCUUAAACAAGGGAAGGAGGUGCCAUUUGAGCUAGCUCAUUAGCUAGGAAAUGACCUUUUUGAUUUUAAAAAAUCUCUACUAGUGGCUUGGGGAUUGUUUAUAUUUUUAUGGUGUAACUUUAGUUUGUGAGUCGCACAAGAUAUGUAAUAUAAUCUAGAAUUGAAAUCGUGACUUUUUUGUUCUUCUUCUUUUUCCAGAUUUCCCUCCCUCCCUCACCAUUGUAAUACCUUGUGGUGUCUUGGAUGUAGCAUAAAAUGUUAUGAAUUGUUUCUUGCUUACCACAUUUGUUCGACCCUUUUGAUUUUUCUUUUCUUUUGGUUUUUCUUUUCUCAUGGCACGAGGGAUGUUUUAAGCCUAUGCCCGCAUUUGCUAUCGUGGAUGUGAAAGAGAUGGCGAUUAUGGUUCAGUUGGGAUAUUUCAGGAGCCAAUUGUUGCUUUGUGUGCAACUUUUGUUAUGGUGAAGAUAUCGACAGGACUACCAUCUAAUCAGGACACCUACUACCACCGGCAGUAAGCCUUCCAGGACUGUCAAUCUGAAACUCUUUUCCUAUCAUAUCAGAAGCUAGUAGGGAGAGAACUGAAAGGAGGUUUGGAAGAAGUGGACGAGAGGUAAAUCAGCCUAUUGGAUUGGUAUACUGGAACUCUGGUAUGCUUUUUUCCGAACUCGUGUCUUGGAUGUAUGUGAUGAAGGAAUUGCUUCACUUGGUGUUGGAUUUCUAUGGAUCAAUCUGCUCGUGCCUCAGAAGGUUGCUUCCUUCGUUUGAUUUAGAAGAUUUUAUGUUAUUUUCCUCGUUUUAUUGUGAUGCGCAAUAAUUGUGAUGCGGUGCUAUAGAGAAUUGUUAGGUAUCUUUGUGGGGGGACAAAAGGUUAUGUGGUGUUGAAAAUAUGAGUCCAUGCAAUUUACAGCCUUAACACUUUA